GGGGGAUAUUGCACAAUGGAGGAAACUCUGAUGCAGCGACGCCGCGUGAGGGAAGAAGGUAUUCGUAUUGUAAACCUCUGUCUUCGGGGACGAAAUAAAUGACGGUACCCGAGGAGGAAGCCACGGCUAACUACGUGCCAGCAGCCGCGGUAAAACGUAGGUGGCAAGCGUUGUCCGGAAUUACUGGGUGUAAAGGGAGCGCAGGUGGAUAUGCAAGUUGGAUGUUUAAUCUAUGGGCUCAACCCAUAAUCGCAUUCAAAACUGCGUAUCUUGAGUGGAGUAGAGGCAGGCGGAAUUCCAGGUGUAGCGGUGGAAUGCGUAGAUAUCUGGAGGAACACCAGUGGCGAAGGCGGCCUGCUGGGCUCUAACUGACACUGAGGCUCGAAAGCAUGGGUAGCAAAC
rnacentral:rRNA from 1 species